UUAAUAACUGGAUGGAAGAAUUUUCUUUCCCUAUAUCACUUCUUGGCUGGAAAUCCUAUGAUUAUAUAUACCUUAUCUCAACAUCUGCCAGCAACCUCUCUCUAGGAAAUGGUCUGUCGUGGAGGAAUCUCUAUACCUAACAUGGGGCUCGAACUCACUACGCAAGAAUCUCACGCUCCACUGGCUGAGCCAGCCAGGCGCUCCAAAGCUCUCACGCCUUCAAGCAGAGUGUGUCCACCCUCUGCUUUUUUAAAGUUUGCCUUAUGCCGCUUCACUUUCAUGAAAGAUCUACAUUGGUACCUGUUUUUGCUAACUGAAAGAAAUCUAAAGAGGAUUUUCACUUUUCCAAAAAAAAGCGUGCAAAGCAAAAAUUGCUUUCAGCGUUUGUUUUGCGGUGAAUGGUUAUAGAGGCAGCGCGAACCCCAACAGCGAGAGUGGCCUUGCUAAGCUCUUUCCCUGGAACGACACCCAGCAUCUUUGCAUCAAGCCACCAUAGCUCUGAACUCUGUGAGCAUCCACACUCUAUCUCGACUUACUGUGUGUAUCUACUAGCAAGACGUGUCCCAAGGUUUCAGAAAAGCCUCAGAGAUUAUUUUUUUGUGUCUGGGAACACUUGGAAAAAUUUCCAUAUAAAUUAAUGGUAAUCGCUUCUUCAGUUUAUGCCAUUUCAGCCUACAAAAGCGUUCAUUAGGUAUGCUCUGUUUUCAAAUACUGGGGGAAACCUGUAUUUUAUUUUAUUUUUUUAACGUUUAUUUAUUUUUUGAGAGAUACAGAGACAGAGUAUGAGCGGGGGAAGGGCAGAGAGAGUGGGAGACACAGAAUCCGAAGCAGGCUCCAGGCUCCCAGCUGUCAACACAGAGCCCGAUGCCGGGCUCCAACUCACUAACCGUGAGAUCAUGACCUGAGCCGAAGUCGGACGCUUAACCGACUGAGCCACCCAGGCACCCCUGUAAAACCUGUAUUUUAAAAAUGAUUCAAAGACACGCAUUUUUGUUGAGUAGUAUGUCAACAUUAUUUUAAUGACUCUUAGCAAAAAAUUAAAAAUAAUAUUACCUACUCUAGUAUCUGUUACAUUUAUUUGCUAUCUUCUUUUAGUUCAAAAUUGAAAGAGAAUUCAUCUCCAAGAGACUUCUUAAAAGGUUUUUGUCAUUAAUAAAAACAAAAAUGAUUUCA
rnacentral:lncRNA from 1 species